rnacentral:rRNA from 1 species
GACGAACGCUGGCGGCGUGCCUAACACAUGCAAGUGGAGCGACGAACCAGGCUUCGGCCUGGGGCAGAGCCGCGAACGGGUGAGUAACACGUGGGUAACCUGCCCUGAUGAUUGGGACAACCCGAGGAAACUCGGGCUAAUACCAAAUGUGCCCUCCGACCAUAAGGUCGCUGGGGAAAGGAAGCUUCGGCCUCCGCAUCGGGAUGGGCCCGCGGCCCAUUAGCUUGUUGGUGAGGAAUGGCUCACCAAGGCAACGAUGGGUAGCUGGUCUGAGAGGACGAUCAGCCACACUGGGACUGAGACACGGCCCAGACUCCUACGGGAGGCAGCAGUGGGGAAUCUUGCGCAAUGCGCGAAAGCGUGACGCAGCAACGCCGCGUGGGG